GGUCCUGGGACCUCUGGGGCUUUGCUAAUUUUCUUCAUGCUUCUCCUGAUCCAUACCAUUUGAUACUGCAUUUGCUGUUCUCAACCAAAUCAGUGUAACCAAUGCCACCUCUUCAUGUUCCACUUCGGACUAUGUCCAGAGACACCAAGUGUAGGAUGUCAACCCUCCAGUUUCAAUAUUCAGAUAAAGGAGCUUAGUCUUAGAGGUGUUCAGUAAUCUGCCCAAGGUCACAUGGACAGCAAGUGACACCCAGGACUGAAGUCCAAUCCUUUUGUUUGUACAGUUUAGGCUUAUUGAAAAUAAUGGACACCAAGUUGCAGAUGUUACCAUGAUGCCAAUGUGACAGGUUGAUGCCAGGCAGACAACCUCACUAAUGUACCCUGGAACCCCACAUCUCCAGAGCCCUGCCCCACUAGGCUGGGAGUAUGGAUUGACCUGCCAACAUCCAUGUCCAGCAGAAAAGUAAUCACAGAAGCCAGACCUUCCACCUUCUGCACCCCAUAAUGAUCGUGGAUCCAUGCUCUCAGAGGGAUAAAGAACAGGAAAGCUUCCAAUGGAGGGAAUGGGAUGUGGAACUCUGGUGGUGGGAAUUGUGUGGA